rnacentral:rRNA from 1 species
AUUGAACGCUGGCGGCAUGCCUUACACAUGCAAGUCGAACGGCAGCGCGGGCUUCGGCCUGGCGGCGAGUGGCGAACGGGUGAGUAAUGCACCGGAACGUGCCCAGUAGUGGGGGAUAGCCCAGCGAAAGCCGGAUUAAUACCGCAUACGACCUGAGGGUGAAAGCGGGGGACCGAAAGGCCUCGCGCUAUUGGAGCGGCCGAUGUCGGAUUAGCUAGUUGGUGGGGUAAAGGCUUACCAAGGCGACGAUCCGUAGCUGGUCUGAGAGGACGACCAGCCACACUGGAACUGAGACACGGCCCAGACUCCUACGGGAGGCAGCAGUGGGGAAUUUUGGACAAUGGGGGCAACCCUGAUCCAGCCAUGCCGCGUGAGGGAAGAAGGCCUUCGGGUUGUAAACCGCUUUUGUUCGGGAAGAAAUCCUCUGGGCUAAUACCCCGGGGGGAUGACGGUACCGGAAGAAUAAGCACCGGCUAACUACGUG